ACAUCAUCAGAACCCACUGGAAAUUGUGGGUGCUCUAACCCACAGAGCAAUAUCUGAAGACCUAACUCAUCUCCAAUGAUGUGUUCCUACACUGCUCCCAGAGCACUUGCUGAGUUCACCCUGAGCUCCCAUGAACACUUUCACUGUGGCCUCAGCACCAUAUAGACAUGGGCUAAAUCCUCCCUCUGUAGCAGAAAUGACUGGGAGAGCUGCCUCCUUCCACUGCUCUGUUUCCACGAGGAUGCCCUGACUUCUCUGAUUAGCUGUCUGUGGCAGGGAUCUCUGCAAGUGCUUGCUGCCUCUGAGCCUCUGCAAGGAAAGAUCAUUAACAUGCAGCCUGCCUGCCUGUGGAAAAUGAUACCUCUAUACCUAGAAGUGAAGGAUAACCAAAUCAACACCCAGUUCUACUCCAUUAAUAUGGCCUUCAGGAGGCAAAUGCCUCUUAACAAGAAAUUAUGUGCCACUGAUCAUUUAAUUUCAGCAUCCAGGGCUCCUCAUUAGUUCACAAGACACUUUUCCUCUAGUGAAAUGUCUUCCAACAGCAUCUCUCAUAGUCAGUGAAUCUGCUUGCUCAAGUGUGAGGAAACGUGUGAGCUGUUUUCCUGCAGGUGCUGCAAGAGGCACAAACAUCCCUAACAUCAGAAAAAUGCCACCUCUGUCCUGAAUUACAGGCAUUCCCAUGCAAUGGUAUAUGUGCCUCUCUUUUGCCUCCACAUCUCCUUUCAGUCCUCAGGUGGGAAAAUAAGCAAGAAACCACAGUUUAGGGUCCCCCCAAAACUCAAGACUGGAUUAUCAUGCACUCCAUGAUGGUGUUGACACAGCAGCACUGGGCAUUUUUGUACACAUUAGGAGCAGAGAACUCAUUUCUGUUGCAAAACCCCUGCUAGGAAUAAAGUUAAGUCCUCUAGGAUCAUUAAACUCAUUUUGUUGUGGCUUCAUUCUCCCUCAAGUCAAGGGUAACACUUGUCUUGGCACUUCUUUUGUUCAUCUUCUCAAAUUUCUUUAAUAAGUCUGCUUAUAUUGAGAAUAUAUUUGUCUUGCGUUGGGAGUGCUGAGAGAUACCCGUGGUCCCUUCUGCUAGCUAUGCUCUCUCCUCAGAAAAUCUCUUUCACUGAAUCCCUUUCAGUUUCUCUUGACUAAAAGGUAAUUUCCAACCACUAAUCACUGGCUAACUGUUAUGCAAGCAUGAAGUUCCCCUCAAGCAUUUGCAGUUCCCACUCUCUAGGGCUUAGCUCAGCCACUAGCUCCAAGAUACCUCCAGCCGGAGACAAGAACCUUUGGGAAUGACUUUGCAAGGCUUUGUUUACGCAAUCGUGUGGGUCAGCUUUCAUGCCGGCAUCUCUGUGACAAAAUGAGCUGCUGGUCCCUUAUCUAGCAGUGGCUGUUGAGGCUACUUGGAUUGGGGGGUAUAACCCAAGCAAAGGAGAAGUCCUUUGCUAGCAGAGACAUGCCACUGAAAGCAAUAAUGGAUCCCCUGUCGACUGUGCUGAUGAUGCUGGAUCACCAUGAGGGAACAUUACAUGGCUUUAUAUUUGUGAUUUGCAUAGCUUGCACUGUAGAGGUUUACAGUCUAAAGUAUGCAUUUGCUGCUCUGUUGGGAGCUGUAAAGAAGAAAAUCAUGUAAUAAAGAGCCUUCUGGUCCUGACAUAAAAUUCAGCAUAAUGCCUUCCUUCCUGCUGUUGCCUACUGUGUGUGGCAGUGUUACCAUUGUCUAAAUGCCAGCUAGGGCUCCUCGAUGCUGUAGAGCAGAGCAGAGGAAAAGUCUGGAGAAGAGUUGAAGAGGGAGAAAUUCAGGAAUGCUCUCCAAUUAUGUGACAGGCAGGAAAUAUUUAUACUCUUCUCAAUAUCCAGUUCAGGUUUGCUAAAACCCUCUCAGUCCUAGGUUCCAUUGAGAUGGGUCUGAGUUUGAUUUCAGAAAAAGCUUUGUAGUUGUAAAGAGGGGGAAAUGCAAUACCACUUCACCUGGAUAGAGAUGUGCAAAACAUUUAGAUGAACAGUCAGGAAUGGCUUUGCAGCUUUUAUAGACAGAGCUUAAGAGCUCUACGAGCUUUCAAUUGUUUUGUAAAACACUCUCUUAUGCCAGUUUGUUAUACACUGGAACUGAUUUAUUAACAUGCCUCUGCUCUGUAGGUAAUCUCAGUGGGGGAAAAAAGCAUAGUAAUGUUUAAUCUUACACAGCAGCAAUCUAUCUCCAUCUUAAAUUAGUUUACUGGCUACUUAAUAUCCUGCUGCAUUUCCAGCCUUUUCGGAAUGAGCCUGUUUACAGAUCUUGGGGUUGGUGACUACUUGCUGUCUUGUCUCUCUCUCCUAACCAACUUUAUUAGCAAACAUAAUGCCCACUCUUUCAAAUCCCAGAGGCAGGUGAAUAGGCCUGAAAAGUAGCUCAUUUCUCCAAAGACCAGAGUAGAGGAGUAGAGUUGGCAGUAAAAACCUGGUGCCUCUUUUCCUCCCACCAGUAGUUUCUCCAUUAACUGGAGCCAAAAAAAAAAAAAAAAAAAAAAAAAAAAAAAAAAAAAAAAAACGCCAUCCUGAGAGAUCUUUCCAGACUUCAAAAAUUUACCUUAGGAUGAAAUUCCAGUUCUGAACUUUUGAUUCUUUUCAUGAAGAAUUGGGAAAGAGGUGGGUGUGAUGUUUAGAAAUCAAUUUGCAGCUCUGGACACACUGCUUUAUGAGGUGACGGGUCUCCACUUGCCAUACAUGGGUGCAUAAGGCUCUAGGGUUUAGUUUUCUACCUAAGAUCUGUACUCUCUUUCUGAGUAAUGGGACAGAUCACAACUCUAGGCUGGUCCUUUCUGAAUUAUUCUUGAUAUCUGUGAAACUUUCUGUGAUUGCUUUCAGGUAUAGUGUUUCUCUUCGCAUGAUACUCUAUGUCUCACUUCAUGCAAGUUUUGUGUCCUUUGACUGGUAAUCUUACCGAACUGACAAGAGAGCUCUGUCAUGUUUGUAACUUACUUGGAUUUUCUUGGUCUGAUGUCAUAUGCAAACAGUAUAUAGUGUACUAUAUUUGUGACUUUCCUAGAUGGUGACCAAACUGCUUUUUUAGGAUUGCAGAGUUCAAGAGUGUAUAUUUUGGGACUAACAUUUAGUUGACUCUUUAUUGUAUUAACCCCCUAUAAUCUGAAAAUGAUAGGUAGUUUCCUCCAGCAGGAAGAAAACUGUUUAUCAUGGGUUUCUUAAUAUUCAGUAAAGCCGUAGUGAAUGACUAAGAAUAGUUAUCAAUUCAUAUCAGCAGACUGUGUUGAUACAUUUACAGCCAUCAAAAAGGAUUUGACAGGUAGUCCAAGCACAGCAUUCCCUUUUUUCCCUGCUCCCUUUAAAAAAGAACUUAAACGGAAGAAAAAAUGCUUCAAUGAGAAUGCACUAGUCAAAGCAAAACAAAAGAAAACCCAAGUUUGCAGUUAAAAGACUACAUGUUUCCAUACAGAAUUGCUAUCCUGCUUUAUAUUUGCAUUAUUUAGUGUUGGUAUGACUCCCUGCAGGAGCAUCCUGGAGUUUCCUGGCCAUGGUGCAUAAUGGUGGAGAGGCAGUCCCAAUGAGAACACUGGUCCUCAGAUGAGAGGGAGACACUCAACAGACUAACUGCAGCUGCCUUGGAGCAGUGCUGCAGCAGAGUAUUGGAACAAAGGAGCAUGUCCUGACAUUUGUGUGCAUGGAAGGAACUUGAGAAACUCUCCACAUGCCUCUACAGCAAGCAGAUAUUGCACACUAAAGACAUGGACAAACUCUCGCGUAGUUUAGGCUGGUGCUUUACCACAUCUGUAUCCUCUCCCAGCUGAAGCUGUACCUCAUCACCAAGUGUUGUUGCUCUGAGGAGCUGCCAUUUUGGCCCAUUUAUGCUCCAAGACCUAUCAGAGGAAGAGCAGGCCACUCCAGCUCAAGGCUGGGACAUGGAGGACCCAAGGCUGCUCUUGGCUCUGCUGUGUGACUUGAGAUCUUGCUUUGCCCUCCCUCCGUGAGCUGCACUCCAGGAUGACAGAUGCAAAGGACAGAUCAUGUUCUUUGAGGCAAGACUCCCAACAAG